ACAGGGGGGCCGGACGGGCCUGCUGGCUCGGACUCCACGCGGAGGCAGAGCGCUCCCUGAGCCGCAGUUGAAGAAACCGCUCUCGGGCUGGACGAAGGCGGAGCAGCAGCUCAGACUGGGCCAACAGAAGAGCCUUACAAUGCCUGGAGCAGUCCGAGGACAGCCCCCGGCGCGAGGCACUCUGGGACUUGUAGUUCGCUUCCCAGACGGCGCUUUUUCCCACUUGGUCUCCCCGCCUUUCAAUGUCGCUUUUAUUCUUCCCUUCACCUCCCAGCCCUCCGACUUCCUGGUCGUCGCACGUCCUCACGUAUGACUACACUACCCAGAAGUCUCCUCUUCGUGUCCCAGCGCGGGCGGUCGCCGGCGGUUCCUCUGGACUACAGGUUCCAGAAGUCCUAUGCAGAAGUGCUUCCCUUUCUCAUUUCCAGGACCACAAUUCCCAGAGACUUCGGCUUCACGGCGUUUCUCUUUUUGCCCGAUCUCUCCUGGAGCUGGCUGGGCUUCGGCCGGCCAGAGGUCCACAGCGACGACGUGAUCCGUCGUGAGCGGGUCCCAGAGUUUCCUCGGCGGCCCUUUUUUCUCUCCCCUCGGUCGUCCCCCUUGCCGGCUGUCGCGGCUGGCCUGAGCAGUGACCUGGCGGGUCGCGCCUGCGCUCUGCCCUGUUUCCUGCCUGGCUGGUGGCGGCGGCCAUUUUGUUCAUCCUCCUCCUCCUCCUGCUCCUCCUGGUUGGAGCGCAGUGUCCGGAGCGGGCUGGGGGGAGAGAGCCCAAGAGCAGGGUUCGGUACCUUUUCCUCUGUCCCCAGCCGGUGCCCAGAGCCCCCCUCCCCUUCUUCCCCACCCCCUCCCCUCCCCAGCCCUGCCCUCCCCCUUGUCCCGGGAUCGCUCCGUCGCACCCACCAUGAUGGAAGACGACGGGCAGCCCCGGACUCUAUACGUAGGUAACCUUUCCAGAGAUGUGACAGAAGUCCUUAUACUUCAGUUGUUCAGUCAGAUUGGACCCUGUAAAAGCUGUAAAAUGAUAACAGAGCAACCCGAUAGCAGAAGGGUCAACUCUUCUGUUGGAUUUUCUGUUUUGCAGCAUACAAGCAAUGACCCAUAUUGCUUUGUGGAAUUUUAUGAACACAGAGAUGCAGCUGCUGCAUUAGCUGCUAUGAAUGGGAGAAAAAUUUUGGGAAAGGAGGUCAAAGUAAACUGGGCAACCACACCAAGUAGCCAGAAAAAAGACACUUCCAAUCACUUCCAUGUGUUUGUUGGGGAUUUGAGUCCAGAAAUUACAACAGAAGAUAUCAAAUCAGCAUUUGCCCCCUUUGGUAAAAUAUCGGAUGCCCGGGUAGUUAAAGACAUGGCAACUGGAAAAUCCAAAGGCUAUGGUUUUGUAUCUUUUUAUAACAAACUGGAUGCAGAAAAUGCGAUUGUGCAUAUGGGAGGUCAGUGGUUGGGUGGUCGUCAAAUCCGAACCAACUGGGCCACACGUAAACCACCUGCACCUAAAAGUACACAAGAAAACAACACUAAGCAGUUGAGAUUUGAAGAUGUAGUAAACCAGUCAAGUCCAAAAAAUUGUACUGUGUACUGUGGAGGAAUUGCGUCUGGGUUAACAGAUCAGCUUAUGAGACAGACAUUCUCACCAUUUGGACAAAUUAUGGAAAUAAGAGUUUUCCCAGAAAAGGGCUAUUCAUUUGUCAGAUUUUCAACCCAUGAAAGUGCAGCCCAUGCCAUUGUUUCGGUGAACGGUACUACGAUUGAAGGACAUGUGGUUAAAUGCUAUUGGGGUAAAGAAUCUCCUGAUAUGACUAAAAACUUCCAACAGGUAAUUCGAUUUUUCAUAGCACUUUUUAAGGUUUCCAUCUUACAUAUCACAUAAAAAGCUUUGGAAACUCUGUAAAAUAAACAAUAAAAUAAAGCAUAUAGCUACUUUCAGUUGAUUGUAUUUCAAAAUUGAUUAUUUGCGGUAUUAACUGAAUCUUAAUACUUUCUUUUCACAGGUGUCACCACCCCAAUAAACUUAGACAAUGAUAAAUAACAGAGUCCUAUUCACAUAAGGGUCGACUAUAGUCAGUGGGGCCAAUGGAGCCAAGUGUAUGGAAACCCACAACAGUAUGGACAGUAUAUGGCAAAUGGGUGGCAAGUACCGCCUUAUGGAGUAUACGGGCAACCAUGGAAUCAACAAGGAUUUGGAGUAGAUCAAUCACCUUCUGCUGCUUGGAUGGGUGGAUUUGGUGCUCAGCCUCCCCAAGGACAAGCUCCUCCCCCUGUAAUACCUCCUCCUAACCAAGCUGGAUAUGGUAUGGCAAGUUACCAAACACAGUGAGCCGGGACUCUUAAAAAAAAUUGUAAUUCACGAUAGGCUUCGAUUUCCUGUGACACUCUGAAGACAUGAAAGUAGACAUCGGAAAAUGAAAAUAUUUAUUUUAAAAAUUGAAAUGUUUGGAACCUUUAGCACAGAUUUGCUUUGGUGAAGGACACAUGUCUUCUAGUUCUGCCUUUUUAAGUUUUUGUUCAUGAUGGAUAUGAACAUGAUUUUUCUUUGUGUACAAAAACUAAAAUAAAGUCAAUAAAGACAAUUCUGACUACAAAUUUUGAUAUAAUAGGAAAAAUGGCUAAUACAUUUUGAUUCUUAGAUACUAUUCCAUUUUUAUCUUGCUGUUCAGUAUUUUAACUCACUGUGUUUUUAAAAGAGCAAAAAAGGGAGGAUCGUGAAAACCUGGGAAUCACAUAUAAGUUCAUCCUGAAUCUUGAUACUCCCCUCCCCUUCCCUGAGGUGGACCACAUUUGAAGUCAGCAGAGAAAAAGUGUGAUAUUCAGAAGAAAUGCGUGAUUUUGGAGUCGCUUUGGAGGAAAUAUUUUCUUUCUCUAUGCCUAAAGAAACUGAAGCCAGACUGAAGUUUUGCACCCUAAAAAAGGAACAGCAUUGUUUGAGUUACUUGAGCAAAUGUCGGUGGUCCACGUUAAACAUAUUUUUAAAACUUCCAAAAGUGUCGAUUAUUAAAAUUGUAGUAUAUUACAUUUCAUUUUGGGGGGAAAUUCCAAGUAUGGUGUUUGUAUUAAAGUCAGACAGUCAUACUUGUGCUUUUACAUGAAGUUUAAAUGAUACACAUUGUAAAUAUUCAAUAACUACAGUGUUUAAAAAGCAUGCUUCAACAUAGAAGUAGCAGCAAUGUAAUUAUUUGAAGUAACACUUAACACACUCCACUGCAUUGAAUGCAGUGGAUUGAUCAGAAUGUUAAGACUGACAUUUCCAAGGUUGGCUACUAUGUAAAAUUAAAAUUACACAAAUUGUGCAGAAAAAGCCUUAAUUUUAAUUUCAUACAAAUCUUUGAUGCAUUAGUAUGUUCUAAAAUGUCACUGGGAAUUAGCUUUGUUUUUUUUUUGUUUUGUUUUGUUUUUUGCUUUACAUCACUUGGUAUGUAAAUACCUUGAUUAAAACCUUAUAAACCAAUUUCAAGGUUACUAUAAGUUGUAUAGUACAAGUGUUUUUUAAAAAUCUUGGGGUGUUUUUAAAAAUUAAGAUAUAUUUUGCCCAAUAAUUUUUUUAACAAGAUUGCUAAAAACAUCUUAUUUAGACACUUCAAUGUACCAAUUUAUAAUUGGACAUUCAGUUUAAAUAGUACACAGAGUUGUGGCUUUUAUUUUCAAUUAAUUUUUUCCUUGUGGGCAGUGUGCAUGGUAUCACAAGCCUGAGCAGAGGCUUAAGUUGUAUGUGUGCAGAGUUUGUAAAGGAAUCAGUUGGAAGAUGCAGAAGACUGAGGUUUGCUUUCAAGGUAUUUUUCAGGCUGUGUGGGUAAAAUUUGCCUCAAAUUUCUAUCAAACAGGAAUGUAAAAUAGAUAAAAUCCUAUGUAAUUGAAUUGUCAGAGCUAGGGAGUGCAAAUGUCUUGGCAAUGUAUUCAAAAUACUGGCCUGGGCACCAAAGAGUGCCUUUUACAGUUACGUAGUAAGAUGCAAUUGGUACCCACAAAUUACUGUUUUCUAAACAUUUGAAGUCUUAAAAUUAGCUUUAAAAUAAUGAUGAUUUUAUAAAUUGAUGAUCACAAUAAUUUUGGUAUUACUUUCCUCCUUUUCCCACUUAGCAAUAUAGCCAAAUGUAUUCAACAUAAAAAUUCAUAGGGUCUAAAGUUCAUAGUUGGGCCAAAUUUUUUUAAGGCACCUUAGUUUUUACCAUAAUGGUCAUCUAUUACACUCUUCUGUUAUAAAACAUACCCUUAUUUCUUUUGUUUAUAGUAUCUUUGAGGAAUGUUUUUGGAAAAGUUAAUUUAUAUUUUAUAGGGAGAACACUCAAUAAAUUAUGUUAACUGUGCCCCCGAGUUAAAAAUUUUAUGAAUAUAUGUGAAACUUGAACAGCUGAAGACUUUUUUUAAUUGAUAAAAUUAAAAAUGCUCAGUAUGCCUGUUUUGGUCUGCCAGUAAAUUAAGUAGCUUAUUGAGAUAACUAACAGCUAAAUAUAGCUGUAGUGUUUCCUGACUGUAUAUUCUAUGAUUUAAUAAAAAUUAUCCAGAGUA